rnacentral:rRNA from 1 species
GUGAGGAAUAUUGCGCAAUGGAGGCAACUCUGACGCAGCCAUGCCGCGUGCAGGAAGAAGGCGCUACGCGUUGUAAACUGCUUUUAACCGGGAAGAAACCCCAGGACGUGUCCUGGGUUGACGGUACCGGAGGAAUAAGCACCGGCUAACUUCGUGCCAGCAGCCGCGGUAAUACGAAGGGUGCAAGCGUUAUCCGGAUUCAUUGGGUUUAAAGGGUGCGUAGGCGGAGCGUUAAGUCAGUGGUGAAAUCCUGCAGCUUAACAGUAGACUUGCCAUUGAUACUGGCGCUCUUGAGUGCGCUUGAAGUGGGCGGAAUGUGCCGUGUAGCGGUGAAAUGCUUAGAUAUGGCACAGAACACCAAUUGCGAAGGCAGCUCACUAAGGCGAUACUGACGCUGAGGCACGAAAGCGUGGGGAUCGAACAGGAUUAGAAACCCGAGUAGUCC